rnacentral:rRNA from 1 species
UACGUAGGGUGCGAGCGUUAAUCGGAAUUACUGGGCGUAAAGCGUGCGCAGGCGGUUUGAGAAGUCCGAUGUGAAAGCCCCGGGCUUAACCUGGGAACGGCGUUGGAAACUCUCAAGUUUGAGUGUGGCAGAGGGGGGUGGAAUUCCACGUGUAGCAGUGAAAUGCGUAGAGAUGUGGAGGAACACCGAUGGCGAAGGCAGCCCCCUGGGCUAACACUGACGCUCAGGCACGAAAGCGUGGGGAGCAAACAGG